rnacentral:ribozyme from 1 species
AGUAGGCUUGUUCUGUGAAUGGGGUAGGAACUCUCCUACCCAACUCCUAUUCUGGUAUGUCCUUGCCAUACAGGUCGUGCACAUGUUGUCCCGCUUAUCUGAGCUUGGGUAAACGGGUCCAAUCCCAACUCCUUGGGACGAUGGGGCUGCAUGGCCAAGGCAGAAAGGG